rnacentral:rRNA from 1 species
AUUGAACGCUGGCGGCAGGCCUAACACAUGCAAGUCGAGCGGAUGAAGGGAGCUUGCUCCUGGAUUCAGCGGCGGACGGGUGAGUAAUGCCUAGGAAUCUGCCUGGUAGUGGGGGAUAACGUCCGGAAACGGGCGCUAAUACCGCAUACGUCCUGAGGGAGAAAGUGGGGGAUCUUCGGACCUCACGCUAUCAGAUGAGCCUAGGUCGGAUUAGCUAGUUGGUGGGGUAAAGGCCUACCAAGGCGACGAUCCGUAACUGGUCUGAGAGGAUGAUCAGUCACACUGGAACUGAGACACGGUCCAGACUCCUACGGGAGGCAGCAGUGGGGAAUAUUGGACAAUGGGCGAAAGCCCGAUCCAGCCAUGCCGCGUGUGAAGAAGGUCUUCGGAUUGUAAAGCACUUUAAGUUGGGAGGAAGGGCAGUAAGUUAAUACCUUGCUGUUUUGACGUUACCAACAGAAUAAGCACCGGCUAACUUCGUG